rnacentral:lncRNA from 1 species
UAAAGGCAGAAGUUCAUUUUCCAUCUAAUGUUCAGAGAAAUGCUUAAAUAGCAAGACCAGCUUAAUGUUGAUUUGGUCAAUAGAAACAGCAUAUAUUUAUAUAGGUUGAUGCUUGGAUUCAAUGAUCUCUCUGCUGCAGUCCCUAAAAUUGCACUUCCCUAAUGCUGGAAUGAAGUAAUUUUCUUCUCCUUGUUUGGUAGCUGGAUGUCCCUGGAAAAGUGGAGUCAAGGAGAAAGUACAAACUGCGAUAUUUGCAUUUCAGUUUUCCGCAGAAGCCUGCACAGGUGAAUAUGACAACGUCUUUCCAGAUAUGAAUUGGAAUGGAAUAUUCCCCACGUCUCUUGCUGACCCUGGACUGCUGGUGGGGCUUCCUUGUGUGACUGUGGAUAGCCCCUUUGCCCAUGGACUGGACUGAUGGCAAAAAGGUCUGGUGACAAGGAUGCUGCUGUAGCCUCAGCCUUCCACUGCAAGUAUGUAGCAAGUCUUGGGCUUCCAAAUGGAAAGUGACUAGGAUCUGCAUCUUGUUCCUCAGAUGAGUGGCCUUGUGUCACUUGGGAACAGCAAGGGAGCUGCCAGUUCUGUGCUGCUCAGCAACGUGAACACCAUGAUGCCCCAGAAGAUGGCUGCUAUGAGGAUCCAGCCUCUGCACAGGUCUGAGCAGCCUGAGUGGAAGAAGCUCCUACCAACGUUGGGCACAGGCCAGAAAGCACCUGCACAGCCUGAACACAUCACCUUCAGCAGGGUUUUGGGUCUAAGUUGGUACCUGAAAUUACAAUCCUGUUUUCUGGUACAGGAAAGAAACAGUGUCUGUGCACAGCACACGGGUGAUACCAUCAUGUGUUUCCUCUGGAUUUUCCCCACGAUUUUCAUUUUCUUCCUCAUACAGCAGCAACAGCAAAUGAACAGCUUUGAUCCCAGAACACAGGAAGAUGUCCUCAUAUUUAUGGCACAACAAAUAUCACAAAACGAAUACAUCACCUACUCAUGCUUGCGUUUCUCUGGCACUGGAACACACAGCAGUGUGAGUGGGUGGACCUCAUUGCUACAACAGAACUGCAAUUAUGAAAAGGAUGUUCAGAAAGCAAUAGGAAAGAAAAGGAACAAAUACUUUUUCCUCCUCUUUUAUCCUUCCUUCCUUCUUUCUCCAUUGCUGCUUCCCCAUAGCCACCAGUCUUGUUGUACCCUCGAGGAGCAGCCGUCCUUAUCUCUGUUGAGCUACUCUGAUCCUGCUGAUGUCGUGUAG